GCGUUGUUUGUAAAAGGUUCAGGAAUAUGCCCUGAGUGUGGAACAGCUCUGAGAAAAAAUAAUUUUAGGGUUCAGUUAUUUGAAGAUCCUUUUAUUGAAAAAGAGAUCGAAGUCAGGAGAAAGAUUCUAAAAGACUAUAAUAAAAAAGAGGAAGAUUUUAAAACUUUGGAAGAAUACAAUGAUUACAUUGAAAUGAUAGAGACAUUAAUUUUCAAUAUAGUGAAUAAUAUUGAUGUGGAUGAAACAAGGCAGAUGAUAGAACAAUACAAAAGAGAAAAUAAAGAUCAAAUUAAUAAAGGGAGAAAUAAAAAGAGCAAGGAUGAAGAGUAUUUAGAGUGCCUGAUUGAACAAGAGAAAGAGGAGAGUUCCCUCAAGAGGAAGUUUAUUGUGGAGGAAGAACAGAGGGAGAAGGACAGUAAAAAGAAACACAAAGAGGCUCUCCUAGACGAACUGAUGUUCUCAGACAGAUCAGCUCUAGAUAUUCUCAAUGAGCACAAGACAGAUAUAGACAAGGAGAAUGAACUCCGCGUUCCUGUGAUGGCAACAACAAAGUUCUCAACAGGAAUCAAACUGGGAGCACAGGGUCCCUUCAUGUCUGUUCCCCAGCAGACAGUAGAACUGUUCACUUACAGUCCCAUUCACCUGGAUGUUUUAGGCCCGGAUCCACCAGAUGAAGAAGCACUGGAGACAAAUGGGUAUUUAAGACACAUAAGGAGUGCCUCUGAUGAGGAAAAAGGCGGAGGGUUUGAAUCUAAACUGGCCUGCAUGCGGGCUCUACUAGAUGCAGUGAAUGGAUUGUUUUAUCUACCAGAUCAAGUCUGACAGACGCUGCUCACCUGCAAGAGGAAGUGACGGUGACCAGACAGGCAUUAUGGAUAUAUAACCGAGUGUCAAAGACAGGGGUCUUAAUGAUUAAACGACCGACAGACACUGCUUUAGUGUUGCUAGUGCCAGAUCAAGGAGCAGUUUAUGUGUAUGCCAAAGAAUGGCCCUUGCUGGGAUGAACGGAGCAUGUUUGCUCCAACAGUGCUGGUCUUUGCCAUUAACUAUAACUUUUUUUGGCAGGGUUUGUUAUACUGCCAUGACAAUACAAGUUUGCUUCAGAAAAUGGGGUGAAAAAUAAUUGUACAUUUACUGAGUUUAUUCAGGUUAUUUUGUUACUGCAUUUUUGCAGAAUAAAAGCAGAACAAUUCA
rnacentral:misc_RNA from 1 species